AUGGACAAGCUGAACACCAAACUUAUCCAGAGACAAUUAAAUUUUCCCCAAGGAGAUAUAUUCUUUGUUCUGAGUACCCAUGUUAUCCUACACCUGCAGAUGACAACUCUUUAUGAAUCUUUCCUCAAGGGCCCGGAAACGAUCAUGACCCUCACAAGUGAUCAUGAUUACCCGAAAAUCCUGAAGGACAUGAUGAAGCAUAUUCAACUUGAAGGAGAUGCAGUCUACAAAGGUUACCCCUUCAUGCACAAGGGAGUGGAACUUUGGUACGUGGAGGUACACCUCCAACAUAUGAAAUGA
rnacentral:rRNA from 1 species